GGACUACUGGGGUAUCUAAUCCUGUUUGCUCCCCACGCUUUCGCACCUCAGCGUCAGAACCGGACCAGUGAGCCGCCUUCGCCACUGGUGUUCUUCCUAAUAUCUACGAAUUUCACCUCUACACUAGGAAUUCCACUCACCUCUUCCGGUCUCGAGACUAACAGUAUCAGAGGCAGUUCCGAGGUUGAGCCCCGGGAUUUCACCCCUGACUUAAUAGUCCGCCUACGUGCGCUUUACGCCCAGUGAUUCCGAACAACGCUAGCCCCCUUCGUAUUACCGCGGCGGCUGGCAC
rnacentral:rRNA from 1 species